rnacentral:lncRNA from 1 species
GUGGCUUCUUGGCGAAAUGGGGGACUUAGGCUCGUCCCUUCUCUAAAAGAGAGGAGGGCCUCACGACCAGUGGUACAUGAUAAUUUUUUUCUCACGGCCUUGUCCUUUUAAAAGGGCCCUCUGGAAGAAAAGGGAUAGGCCCUCCUUAUAAAGCACAAUCUUUUCCGCUACUCUUUCGAUGUGGGACUAAAGUCUUGGGUCCCCCAUCCGCCCCCCAAUACUACCCCCAGUAGGAAGGAUUCACGCACGUGCUUAAUACUAUACGCGGUUCGUACACAAUAAUUUUUCCCUCGCAGUUUUG